UGCAGCGACGCCGCGUGAGGGAUGACGGCCUUCGGGUUGUAAACCUCUUUCAGCAGGGACGAAGCGUAAGUGACGGUACCUGCAGAAGAAGCACCGGCCAACUACGUGCCAGCAGCCGCGGUAAGACGUAGGGUGCGAGCGUUGUCCGGAUUUAUUGGGCGUAAAGAGCUCGUAGGCGGCUUGUCGCGUCGACCGUGAAAACUUGGGGCUCAACCCCAAGCCUGCGGUCGAUACGGGCAGGCUAGAGUUCGGUAGGGGAGACUGGAAUUCCUGGUGUAGCGGUGAAAUGCGCAGAUAUCAAGAGGAACACCGGUGGCGAAGGCGGGUCUCUGGGCCGAUACUGACGCUGAGGAGCGAAAGCGUGGGGAGCGAACAGGAUUAGAUACCCUGGUAGUCCACGCUGUAAACGUUGGGCGCUAGGUGUGGGGGGCCUCUCCGGUUCUCUGUGCCGCAGCUAACGCAUUAAGCGCCCCGCCUGGGGAGUACGGCCGCAAGGCUAAAACUCAAAGGAAUUGACGGGGGCCCGCACAAGCGGCGGAGCAUGCGGAUUAAUUCGAUGCAACGCGAAGAACCUUACCUGGGUUUGACAUGGCCGCAAAACUUGCAGAGAUGUAAGGUCCUUCGGGGG
rnacentral:rRNA from 1 species